rnacentral:rRNA from 1 species
AGCGGCGGAUGGGUGAGCAACACGUGGGGAACCUGCCCCUAAGUCUGGGAUACCAUUUGGAAACAGGUGCUAAUACCGGAUAAUAAAGCAGAUCGCAUGAUCAGCUUUUGAAAGGCGGCGUAAGCUGUCGCUAAGGGAUGGCCCCGCGGUGCAUUAGCUAGUUGGUAAGGUAACGGCUUACCAAGGCGACGAUGCAUAGCCGAGUUGAGAGACUGAUCGGCCACAUUGGGACUGAGACACGGCCCAAACUCCUACGGGAGGCAGCAGUAGGGAAUCUUCCACAAUGGACGCAAGUCUGAUGGAGCAACGCCGCGUGAGUGAAGAAGGUUUUCGGAUCGUAAAGCUCUGUUGUUGGUGAAGAAGGAUAGAGGUAGUAACUGGCCUUUAUUUGACGGUAAUCAACCAGAAAGUCACGGCUAACUACGUGCCAGCAGCCGCGGUAAUACGUAGGUGGCAAGCGUUGUCCGGAUUUAUUGGGCGUAAAGCGAGCGCAGGCGGAAAAAUAAGUCUAAUGUGAAAGCCCUCGGCUUAACCGAGGAACUGCAUCGGAAACUGUUUUUCUUGUGUGCAGAAGAGGAGAGUGGAACUCCAUGUGUAGCGGUGGAAUGCGUAGAUAUAUGGAAGAACACCAGUGGCGAACGCGGCUCUCUGGUCUGCAACUGACGCUGAGGCUCGAAAGCAUGGGUAGCGAACAGGAUUAGAUACCCUGGUAGUCCAUGCCGUAAACGAUGAGUGCUAAGU